UUCAUUCACAUCUAGGGUUUCUGUUUCUUCCAUCAUACACUCCUCCCCCUAUGGUUUCAUUCUUCCAGCAUACGUCUCUCUUCUCCAUAUCUAAUCUUCAUUCACAUCCUAGGGUUUCUGCAACCUCAUUCGCACCUCUCCUUCUCAUCCAAUCGCAUCCAUGAAGAUCAUGUUCAUCCCCAAGGUCAACCCAAAUCUAUAUUACCAAUCUUCUGCUCUAAUUCUCUCUGCCGUCCUUCAGCCUUACGAAAUCUUCAUCACAAAUGUAUGAUUCCAUCUCUUUGGUAACAAUCAAUCUUGGUUUUCUUGCCUUUUCUUUCGAUUUCUUACUUUUUAUUUACUGGAACCAAAUUAGGGUUUUUAUAGCCUUCAUCUACCUUACUUCACUAAGUUAUAGAUUGAUAACUUAGAUUGAUAACAAAUUGCAACCGAUCAAAGUACAUCACUUCACUAAAAUAUCCCCAUUGUUUUUUUAUAACCUUCAUCUACCUUACUUCACUUUAGCGCCUUCGUCUUCCUCCUCUGCUGCAGAUUCCAAACCCUAGGUAAGGUGUAGUUUUUAGAGGUGAAAUAAUGGUGGAGAAGACGAAAGGAAUGAAGGAAGAGGUGGUGACGAAAGAGUACACCAUUAAUCUUCACAAGCGGCUUCAUGGAUGGGUGGUGCCAAGAAGUUGGUGAUCUCAGCUCCAUAAGCCGAUUCACCCAUGUUUGUCGUAGCAGUAAAGUAAAGAUGAGUCUUGAUCUCCUAAACUGGAGAUUGCAAAAACGAUGAGUCAGAUGCCCCUCUGACCAUAGUCACCUAAUUCGCUAGAAAAGUGGCGAAUUUCGUAUUGGUACGUUUCGUACCGUACGGAAUUCGUUUUCGUAAAAUACGGUUCGAAUUCGCGAAUUCACUCCAUGAAUUCAGCGUUUCAUUCCAUUCAAUGAACCUACCCCCUUCCGAACCGAAUUCGUCCCAACUAGCGAAUUGCGAACCCGAACCGCGUACCCGAACCGGAGCGAACCGCGAAUUAGGUGACUAUGCCUCUGACAAGUAUCUUAUCUUAAGCCAUUUAGCAAGGGCACCAAGUGUAAGAAAUAAGUUAAAUGGAAGGGAUUUAGCACUGCUAUAACUAGAUAGGCACCAAGGAAUGUAUUUGGAAGCUACACUUUUGUUCUUUCAAUAUAUGGAAUAAAGUAUUUUUGUAACGUUUUUGUUUACAUGAUUACAUUUAAUAAUAAUAUUUUAUUU
rnacentral:lncRNA from 1 species